rnacentral:rRNA from 1 species
UACAGAGGGGGCAAGCGUUAUUCGGAAUUAUUGGGCGUAAAGGGCGCGUAGGCGGCCAUUCAAGUGACGGGUGAAAGCCCUCGGCUUAACCGAGGAACUGCCUGUCAGACUGGAUGGCUUGAGACCGGGAGAGGUGAGUGGAAUUCCCAGUGUAGCGGUGAAAUGCGUAGAUAUCUGGAGGAACACCGGUGGCGAAGGCGGCAUCCUGGACCGACACUGACACUGAGGAGCGAAAGCCAGGGGAGCAAACGGG